rnacentral:lncRNA from 1 species
GCAGCCUUUCUAGCUCUCACCAGAUACAUGGUUCAGUCCAGGUUUUUGGGGAUACCUCUUGCAUGUAAAACAAAUUAUCUCUUGUAAAUGGCCAGAUAGCAGAAAAGAAAAAAAACAAAGCUUUAUUAUCUCUUAGUGAGAAUAAAUGUCUGUAAUGUAAGGCCUAUUUAUCUUCAUUCAGGUGCCAAGUUGCUGUCACUUUGAUGACUAAGGUUCAAGAUUUUUCUUUUCUUUCUUCUUUUCUUUCAAGUGCUAUUGCUUCAUAUGUAUACUAGCUUAGAGCAUCGAAUAGUCUUGUUCAGUUCUCAAGAAAAAUAUGUCAUUCAUAGCAAGACUUCCAUGAGGCCCUUAACAAAGUCUAUUUCACUUCAUUAAUAUAGAAUAAAGUGAAUGUUUUUGCUAAAUUUAUAGUAAGAAACUCUUUGAUGUUAAAACAUUGGUAUACCUCAAAUAUUCAAAAUAAAAUAUUCUCAAUCUGAUCAACCACACAAGUAUAAUAUUUAACAUGAUAGGAAUGUCAAAAGCUGUGCUUCUUGGCAUUUAGUAGGUAACAUAUUUUGUAUUAAAAAUACAGGUAUGUUUUGCUCCUGUGGUAUUUUGAGCACUGGCAUCUUACAAGAUCUUCCACAAGAGGAUAAUAUUAUUCAGAGCACUUGGACACUUCAACAAGGGGCAGGUGUGAGUGACAUGUGUAUUUCAUAUACAUGUUUUCAUAUUUAACAAUAUGCCCAUACCUGCCUCCAGCCCCUAUCCCCCUGACAAAUGUUCAGCCUGUUUGAGGACUACUGAGAUACAGGGUCAAUACUCACCCUGAGUGGAAAAGUUUAAGGUAAGAAUAUUGACAGAAGUAACAAUAAUACUAUGGCCUGAAAAAGGCCUAUAAAGCAUAAAAUUUGGUGUUGGUGGGAAAAGCAAAGCAGAAACCUGACCAGUGUUUAGUAGAGGGAGCCGGAGAAUUUUCACAGAUCCUGUGGCUGUUUGUAAGUGGUCUAAAGGAAGAAAGAAUCUGUUCUACUUCUGUUUAUCAUGGAUGACUUAAUAUCAGAUUUCCUGUAACUGUCUA